rnacentral:pre_miRNA from 1 species
UCCCCACACUGGGUGUUCACUGUGGUUCCUGACCCAAUAUCGGUCAGGAAUCACAGUGAACACCCAGUGUGGGGAA